CUUAAUUUAAAAGACGAACAGUCUACUCUUAUAUUUCUUUUGCGAAUUUUAGACAAAAGAAUCCAACAUCGAGGUCGUAAUCUUAAAAAUUAAUUUGAACUUUUUAAUUAAAUUACCCUGUUAUCCCUAAAGUAGCUUAUUUUUAAGUUAUUUAUUUAAAUUUAACAAAAUAAUAAUGAAUUUUUACCCCAAAAAACUCAAAUAGAGAAAGCUUUUAGGGUCUUCUCGUCUUACAAAAAUGAACUUUAUUUAUUAGUUCUUUAAUUUUUAAAAUUUAACUAAGAAAACAAUUGAAAGUUUAUUCUUUCAUACUUGAAUGCAAUUAACAAUCUAAUGAUUGC
rnacentral:rRNA from 1 species